rnacentral:rRNA from 1 species
CGGCUUAGAGUUUGAUCCUGGCUCAGAGUGAACGCUGGCGGCGUGGAUUAGGCAUGCAAGUCGAGCGAUCUCGCAAGAGAUAGCGGCAAACGGGUGAGGAAUACAUAGGUAAUCUUCCCCUAAAUCAGGAAUAGCCCUAUGAAAGUAGGGGUAAUGUCUGAUGGUAUCACGGGAAUGCAUGUUUCUGUGAUUAAAGACAGGGACCUUCGGGCCUGUCGUUUAGGGAUGAGCCGAUGUCUUAUCAGCUAGUUGGUGGGGUAACGGCCCACCAAGGCUAAGACAAGUAGCUGGUCUGAGAGGAUGGUCAGCCACACUGGGACUGAGACACUGCCCAGACUCCUACGGGAGGCUGCAGUCGAGGAUAUUUAGCAAUGGGCGAAAGCCUGACUAUGCGACGCCGCGUGAGGGAUGAAGGUUUUCGGAUCGUAAACCUCUUUUAGCAGGAAAGAAACCUUUCAAGUUAAUAGCUUGAAAGCUGACGGU